CACCGCCCCAGCGCCGGCGUCGCCCCAGCACCGCCACAUCACCGCCCCAGCCCAUCGUCACCCCAGGCUCGACAGUAAAACUCAGGCACUCCGUUAGAGGGAGCGACCAAUGGAGGAAUAACUGAGAUCGCUUCUCCAAGAUCUUGAAACCCUCAAGCGAUCUGUACCCAAUCCCGAUCAAAAUGAUUCCAUCAACAAGUUGCAACAAAGAGUACAUAAAAUCAUGAGCAUGUCGAAAUCGGGGUCCGCCCGGCGAUCGAAAGUCAAGGAUAUGAGUGCCGAGGAGGUGGAUAGCAACCCCUAUAGUAGACUAAUGGCACUUCAACGAAUGGGUAUUGUGCAGAACUAUGAAAGGAUACGAGAUUUCUUGGUCACGAUAGUAUGGAGUUGGCGAACAUGAAUAGGCUUUUCUUUCGUUCAGACCAGGCUGGCAUGACCAAGACAGAUUCUGUUGUUCAGACUCUUUCAGACAUUAACCCUGAUGUUGUACUAGAAUGUUGUAGACAUUGACAGUGAGAAGACAUCUGCUGCAAGCAGAAGUUCCGAUGCCCUUCCAGAAGGUCUCAUGCAUGAGCUUCCGAGCUCCGAUAGACUUCAAGAAUCACCAUUUAGUCCAGGAGACCGUCACCAUCAGUGAUGAUCUUGAGGAUCUCCAACGGCAACUUGAUGCCCUCAAUGCAGCUUGACUUUACCCAAAGACUUAACAUUACCCUGUAUCAUGAGAAACAAUGUGUUAAAUAACUUUUAAGAUAUUUUUGGGAUGGUAAAACUCAAGAAGCAGUUAUUUAACACCCUUUUGUUAUUAGUAUUAAAUAUUUGAGGAUGGUGGAAUUUUAUUUAUUAAUGUUAUUAAUGAAUGGAGUUUUUAUUUUCUCUUUUAUUAA